UGCACUUGUGUUUUUGUUUAACUGUGAACAAAGACUUAUAGAGAAGUGCAAAAAAUAAAUCCUCUUUUGCAACCCAGAACUCAUUGUUUAGUAAGGGUUUUGAUACAUAUAAAAGAGAUAUU
ensembl:snoRNA